rnacentral:rRNA from 1 species
AUUGAACGCUGGCGGCAGGCCUAACACAUGUAAGUCGAACGAAUGGCGGACGGGUGAGUAAUGUCUGGGAAACUGCCCGAUCGACGGGGAUAACGACUGGAAACGGUAGCUAAUACCGCAUACCAUCGUAUGUGCCCUGAUGGGAUUAGCUAGUAGGUGUGGUAACGGCUCACCUAGGCGACGAUGCCUAGCUGGUCUGAGAGGAUGACCGGCCACACUGGAACUGAGACACGGUCCAGACUCCUACGGGAGGCAGCAUGGGGGAAUAUUGCACAAUGGGCGCAAGCCUGAUGCAGCCACGCCGCGUGGAUGAAGAAGGUCUUCGGAUUGUAAAGUACUUUCAGCGAGGAGGCGGUACUUGCCCAAGAAGCAACGGCUAACUCCGUGCCAGCCGCCGCGGUAAUAC